rnacentral:misc_RNA from 1 species
GAAGGACCAGAGGUUCCACUCUGUAUUCACUCUACACGGACUCUAAAUAUUCUUGUGUGGGGUUCGAGCCAGAGAAAAGUGGAGCUUUUCCUAUACUGUCGAGCUUGGUGGCGACAGGAGGGCCGGUGGGGGAGGUGGUGAUCUCGUCGGAACAGAGGGUGUAUGACGUGGUGGUGAAGCAGGCUGCGCUGGUGAAGGAGGUGA